rnacentral:rRNA from 1 species
AGCAGACUGAAACUUAGCUAACCCUAAGUGGAGGGUCGAACCGUAGUACACUAAAACGUGCCCGGAUGACUUGUGAAUAGCGGAGAAAUUCCAAUCGAACUUGGAGAUAGCUGGUUCUCCUCGAAAUAGCUUUAGGGCUAGCGUGUAGUGUUAAAUAAUGGUGGUAAAGCACUGAAUAUGGAAUGGCCUCGCCUAGGGGUACUGACUAUAAUCAAACUCUGAAUACCGUUAUGAAUUGCUAUGCAGUCGGAACCGGGGUGCUAACGUCCCGGCUCGCGAGGGAAACAACCCAGAUCGUCAGCUAAGGUCCCAAAAUCGUGUUAAGUCAGAAAGGUUGUGAGGUUUCAUAAACAACUAGGAAGUUGGCUUAGAAGCAGCCAUCUUUUAAAGAGUGCGUAAUAGCUCACUAGUCAAGAGACCUUGCGCCGACAAUGUAACGGGAGUAAAACACGAUACCGAAGCUACGGGUACAUUUAUGUACGUUAGAGGAGCAUUCUUAGGGCAAUGAAGCUAGACUGUAAAGACUAGUGGAGCGCUAAGAAGCGAGAAUGCCGGUAUGAGUAACGAUUCGUAGUGAGAAUCUACGACGCCUAUUGGGGAAGGUUUCCUGGGCAAGGUUCGUCCACCCAGGGUUAGUCAGGACCUAAGGCGAGGCUGAAAAGCGUAGUCGAUGGACAACAGGUUAAUAUUCCUGUACUUUCUUUAAUUGUGAUGGAGUGACGGAGAAGGAUAAGCAUACCUAUUAUUGGAUUUAGGGGUAAGUAGUUACUGGUGAUUGUAGGCAAAUCCGCAAUCUAUAACUGGGAGCUAUGAUGCAUAGGACUUUUGUCUGAAUUUGCCAAUUCCAUGCUUCCUAGAAAAGUUUCUAAACUUAAUUUUAUUGAAACCUGUACCAAGAACGGACACACGUCCCCAAGAUGAGUAUUCUAAGGCGAGCGAGAAAACUAGUGUUAAGGAACUCUGCAAAAUGACCCCGUAAGUUCGCAAGAAGGGGCGCCUAUGGUAACACAUAGGCCACAGUAAAUUAUGAGGGGCAACUGUUUAUCAAAAACACAACUCUCUGCUAAACCGCAAGGUGAUGUAUAGGGGGUGAAGCCUGCCCAGUGCCCGAAGGUUAAGUGGAUGCGUUAGCUUAUGCGAAGCGUUGAAAUGAAGCCCGGGUGAACGGCGGCCGUAACUAUAACGGUCCUAAGGUAGCGAAAUUCCUUGUCGGCUAAAUACUGACCUGCACGAAAGGCAUAAUGAUCUCUCAACUGUCUCAACACUAGACUCGGUGAAAUUAUGGUCCCAGUGAAAACGCUGGGUUCCCGCAUCAAGACGAAAAGACCCCAUGGAGCUUUACUAUAACUUCGUAUUGGAAUUUGGCCUAACAUGUGUAGGAUAGGUGGGAGACUUUGAAGCUGAGACGCCAGUAGCAGUGGAGUCAACCUUGAAAUACCACCCUUGUUAUGUUGAAUUUCUAACUUACCAUCAUAAUCAGGUGGGAGGACAGUGCGUGGUGGGUAGUUUGACUGGGGCGGUCGCCUCCUAAAGAGUAACGGAGGCGUUCAAAGGUACACUCAGUACGGUCAGAAACCGUAUGUAGAGCGCAAAGGCAGAAGUGUGCUUGACUGUGAGACAUACAAGUCGAGCAGGUGCGAAAGCAGGACUUAGUGAUCCGGCUGUACAUUGUGGAAUGGCAGUCGCUCAACGGAUAAAAGUUACCCUGGGGAUAACAGGCUAAUCUUGCCCAAGAGAUCACAUCGACGGCAAGGUUUGGCACCUCGAUGUCGGCUCAUCGCAUCCUGGAGCUGGAGUCGGUUCCAAGGGUUGGGCUGUUCGCCCAUUAAAGCGGUACGCGAGCUGGGUUCAAAACGUCGUGAGACAGUUUGGUCCCUAUCUGAUGUGGGCGUUGGAAUAUUGAUGAGAGCCGCUCUUAGUACGAGAGGACCGGAGUGGACGUACCGCUGGUGUUCCAGUUGUUCCGCCAGGAGCAUGGCUGGGUAGCUAAGUACGGAAAGGAUAACCGCUGAAAGCAUCUAAGUGGGAAGCCUCCUCAGAGAUUAGUAUUCCCUUGAAAUUCCUUAUAGACUAUGAGGUUGAUAGGCUGGAUGUGUAAGCACAGUAAUGUGUUGAGCUGACCAGUACUAAUAAAUUGAAAGGUUUAAAAG